UACAGUUAGUUUUGCAGGUUUGCAUUUCAGCGUAUACAUGUAUAUAUGGCUGUGCAAAUCCAUGCAAAACUGAUUGUGAU
rnacentral:pre_miRNA from 11 species